rnacentral:rRNA from 1 species
UACGGAGGAUGCGAGCGUUAUCCGGAUUUAUUGGGUUUAAAGGGUGCGUAGGCGGGAUGCCAAGUCAGCGGUAAAAAUGCGGUGCUCAACGCCGUCGAGCCGUUGAAACUGGCGUUCUCGAGUGGGCGAGAAGUAUGCGGAAUGCGUGGUGUAGCGGGGAAAUGCAUAGAUAUCACGCAGAACUCCGAUUGCGAAGGCAGCAUACCGGCGCCCUACUGACGCUGAGGCACGAAAGCGUGGGUAUCGAACAGG